rnacentral:rRNA from 1 species
AUUGAACGCUGGCGGCAGGCCUAACACAUGCAAGUCGAACGAGUGGCGGACGGGUGAGUCAUGUCUGGAAAACUGCCUGAUGGAGGGGGAUAACUACUGGAAACGGUAGCUAAUACCGCAUACCAUCGGAUGUGCCCAGAUGGGAUUCGCUAGUCGGUGGGGUAAAGGCUCACCUAGGAGACGAUCCCUACCUGGUCUGAGAGGAUGAACAGCCACACUGGAACUGAGACACGGUCCAGACUCCUACGGGAGGCAGCAGUGGGGAAUAUUGCACAAUGGGCGCAAGCCUGAUGCAGCCAUGCCGCGUGUAUGAAGAAGGCCUUCGGGUUGUAAAGUACUUUCAGCGGGGAGGCGUUACCCGCAGAAGAAGCACCGGCUAACUCCGUGCCAGCAGCCGCGGUAAUAC